rnacentral:rRNA from 1 species
GACGAACGCUGGCGGCGUGCUUAACACAUGCAAGUCGAACGGUAAGGCCCUUCGGGGUACACGAGUGGCGAACGGGUGAGUAACACGUGGGUGAUCUGCCCUGCACUUCGGGAUAAGCCUGGGAAACUGGGUCUAAUACCGGAUAGGACCACUGCCUGCAUGGGUGGUGGUGGAAAGCUUUUGCGGUGUGGGAUGGGCCCGCGGCCUAUCAGCUUGUUGGUGGGGUGAUGGCCUACCAAGGCGGCGACGGGUAGCCGGCCUGAGAGGGUGACCGGCCACACUGGGACUGAGAUACGGCCCAGACUCCUACGGGAGGCAGCAGUGGGGAAUAUUGCACAAUGGGCGCAAGCCUGAUGCGGCGACGCCGCGUGAGGGAUGACGGCCUUCGGGUUGUAAACCUCUUUCAGCACCGACGAAGCGCAAGUGACGGUAGGUGCAGAAGAAGGACCGGCCAACUACGUGCCAGCAGCCGCGGUAA